GUGAAAAGCACCCCGACGAGGGGAGUGAAACAGUUCCUGAAACCGGAUGCUUACAAACAGUGGGAGCCCAAGGCGAGUCCUUCAGUGGAUGUCCUGGGUGACUGCGUACCUUUUGUAUAAUGGGUCAGCGACUUAUAUUUUGUAGCGAGGUUAACCGAAUAGGGGAGCCGUAGCGAAAGCGAGUCUUAACUGGGCGCUUAGUUGCAAGGUAUAGACCCGAAACCCGGUGAUCUAGCCAUGGGCAGGUUGAAGGUUGAGUAACAUCAACUGGAGGACCGAACCCACUAACUUUGAAAAGUUAGGGGAUGACCUGUGGCUGGGGGUGAAAGGCCAAUCAAACCGGGAGAUAGCUGGUUCUCCCCGAAAGCUAUUUAGGUAGCGCCUCGGACGAAUACCAUUGGGGGUAGAGCACUGUUUGGGCUAGGGGGUCAUCCCGACUUACCAACCCCAUGCAAACUCCGAAUACCAAUGAGUACUAUCCGGGAGACACACGGCGGGUGCUAACGUCCGUCGUGGAGAGGGAAACAACCCAGACCGCCAGCUAAGGUCCCCAAAUAUUGCUAAGUGGGAAACGAUGUGGGAAGGCUCAGACAGCUAGGAGGUUGGCUUAGAAGCAGCCAUCCUUUAAAGAAAGCGUAAUAGCUCACUAGUCGAGU
rnacentral:rRNA from 1 species